CAAGCUGAUAGGAUGCUCUGCAGCAAUGCUGUGGAUAAAUCCAGGGACCUCUGGACAUAUUUAUGAGAUGCCUUGAUUUUAACUCACCUUUGUAGUGAUUGGUGACAUUUCCUUUGAAUCUGGGUUGUCACUGGAAUAAGUGACAUUGCAAAUAUUUUUGACAUUCAUUAUUCCAGAUGAACUUUUCUGCAAAUGAAAGACAACAGUUUUCUCCUUAGCGGCAGAGAUUUAGUCCAAGAACAUCCUGUCUGUGAGUGUCUGACUGGCUCCACAAUAAUGCAGAAUUACAGGAGUAAGAUGGCCGAGUAAAACCUGAGUCUCACCUUGGAGAUCAUCUGCCUGCUGACUAGAUAGGAUUAUAUGAUUGUGAAGAAGUAUGGUGAGCAUGUCACACACAACAGUCCCAAUAUUUUACAAGGAUCCUGCAGGACCCAGAGUCCCAACACGGUGCCUCCAUCUUCCUCACUGAUACAUGAGAGGAACAAUGAAAAGAAGAUCCUGGAACUGACCAAUUAGAUCAUCCAGCUGCUGACUGGAGAGGUUCCUAUAAGGUGUGAGGAUGUCACUGUCCAUCUCUCCAUGGAGGAGUGGGAGUAUCUAGAAGAACACCUAGAUCAUUACAAGGACGUGAUAGAUUUAUCAAUGGACAGAGAUACACACAAGAGAUCUCAAACUUGCGUUUCUUCACCAGGUCUAGUUACCAAAAAAAGCCAAAGAUUCAGAUGAUCUGCAAGAAAUAUAUCUGAGAAAAUGGUAUGAAGAAACCGUCUCUAGUGAACAA